UCAAUUCAGAUAGGUAAUGGUCUACGUCAUAUCCGGGUUGAAAACCGUCGUCGUAGCCAUCGGAAAAGGUUAAAAACGUUAGGUCUUGAGCAGUGGGGACUUUGGUCAUGCGGCGGCCAGCGGAGAUACAGGUAAUGAAAGUUACACGUACUCCAAUACGGAUAAGAUGCUUGGCAAAUUGUAAGCUUGGGUUUAUGUGGCCUUGUGCAGGGUAGGUCACUAGGAGGAAAUGAGGCUGUGACAUGGUGGUGACGGCGGCGCGUAGGUAGUUGAGCUGGU
rnacentral:lncRNA from 1 species